CUCAGCCGCUAUAGAUUAGAACUAACCAAGGUUAAUAUGAAAUGCAGUUACGUUAGUACGUACUGUAUACACUAUUAUGAAUAUUGAUAAUGCCUGACGGUAAAAAUAUGAAAUAAGGAAGUGGUAUUUGACAAUCGUUUUUUGUAAUAUUCGUUGUCGCAUUAAUCUUGUGUACGUGUGUAGUUUCUAAUCUCAAAAAUGCCGAAAUUUUUGAAAUCAAAAAGGAAAUCGAUAUUCCAUUAUUAUAAAUUUGUAUGGCUAAUGUUUUAUAUCAUAAAUUUAUAAAUAUAUCAUAAAUUACUUCAAUGGAUAAAUGACAAAAAAACCUCUUUUGUUGCAUUUGUAAUCUAGUUGGUUAAUAAGAAAAUGUUUUUUUAAUUCUUUUCUAGAUUUUAAUUAAUUUAGCAAAACCGACAAAAGAUGCAAAAAUUAGAUGAUAAUGUACUAAAAAAAUCCUUUUAUUCUCUUUGAUUUUGUUUUAGAUUCUGAAUAGAGCGAAGAAGCAUAUGAUUUUAAUAAGAUGUUUAUUUUUAUUUUUGUUUGUAGACAACUUUUUCACCAGAUCCGCUUCGAUUUUUGCGUAUAGCAACUUUUCUGAAAAGAAAACGGUGUUUGGAGGUACCUUAAACAGGUAAUGUCUCGAUUUUCUCAAGAGUUUUCUCAUCAAAUGUGAAAAACUGGGAAAACCGAGAAAUUCGGUACAACAUUAAACAAAUAUUAUUUAAGAAAAUAUAUAGAACCUAUUUAAUUAUUUUACUAUAAAAUGACAUAUUAUAUAUUGUAGAUAAAGCAUAACUAUAAUCUAAAUUCAGCUCAGAAUUGUUUUUACGUAAGCAAUGGUUCAUAUCGUGGAUUACAGAUAAACAGUAAAUUCCUAUUACAGUUGCUGUAGAGGACGGCCGACAACGAGUAUAUCCGAGCCGGUCACACGGUGCGAGCGAGGGUGCGGUCGCCAUGGA